rnacentral:rRNA from 1 species
GAUGAACGCUGGCGGCGUGCCUAAUACAUGCAAGUCGAGCGAACGGACGAGAAGCUUGCUUUUCUGAUGUUAGCGGCGGACGGGUGAGUAACACGUGGAUAACCUACCUAUAAGACUGGGAUAACUUCGGGAAACCGGAGCUAAUACCGGAUAAUAUUUUGAACCGCAUGGUUCAUAAGUGAAAGACGGUCUUGCUGUCACUUAUAGAUGGAUCCGCGCUGCAUUAGCUAGUUGGUAAGGUAACGGCUUGCCAAGGCAACGAUGCAUAGCCGACCUGAGAGGGUGAUCGGCCACACUGGAACUGAGACACGGUCCAGACUCCUACGGGAGGCAGCAGUAGGGAAUCUUCCGCAAUGGGCGAAAGCCUGACGGAGCAACGCCGCGUGAGUGAUGAAGGUCUUCGGAUCGUAAAACUCUGUUAUUAGGGAAGAACAUAUGUGUAAGUAACUGUGCACAUCUUGACGGUACCUAAUCAGAAAGCCACGGCUAACUACGUG